UACAGAGGUCUCAACCGUUGUUCGGAUUCAUUGGGCGUAAAGGGUGCGUAGGCGGCGGGGCAAGUCAGGUGUGAAAUCUCGGGGCUCAACCCCGAAACUGCACUUGGUACUGCCUUGCUCGAGUACUGGAGAGGAGACUGGAAUUUACGGUGUAGCAGUGAAAUGCGUAGAUAUCGUAAGGAAGACCAGUGGCGAAGGCGAGUCUCUGGACAGUUACUGACGCUGAGGCACGAAGGCCAGGGGAGCAAACGGG
rnacentral:rRNA from 1 species